rnacentral:rRNA from 1 species
AUUCCCUAUCAGAGCCGUGGAAGACGACCACGUUGAUAGGACGGGUGUGGAAGUGCAGCAAUGCAUGAAGCUUACCGUUACUAAUAGCUCGAUCGGCUUAAUUGUUCUCAUU